rnacentral:lncRNA from 1 species
AUAACAACACUAGGCCAUGAUGUAUCUGUAGAGGACCUGCUGCAGAGCCGGGUCUCAGUCUCUGUGAGAUCACAAUCCCCUGCUUUGUUGAUUCAGAGGGCAGAGUUCUCCCAGCGUUCUCCAUCCACACUGAUUCUGUCCACCCUUCCACCUCCUCUUCUGUGGGAUUCCCUGAGCUCUGAGAGGAGGGGUUUGACUGAGGUCUCCAGUUUAGACUUUCUCUCUGUGCAAUGUCUGUCUGUGGGGCUCUGUGUUUGCUCCUAUCUGCUGCUGGAGGAAGCCUGUCUGGUUAUGGAAACAGGAUCAACGUUUCCAGGCUUCCAAAGUUGACUGAGGUCCAGCGACUCUCCAGGAAUACUCCAGGUCUUUGGACAGAUUGGAAGAGCUGAGCUACCCACCCUGCCUCAAGGACAGAGCAGAGACUUGCCAUUACUAUUUUGACUUAAGCUAAUUUAAUAAGUUCUUUGUGUCUUGUUCUCCUAGUAAACUUUGAUUAAGGCACAGCAUUCUAUUCAUUUCACUGUUCUGAAAUAGUUUGAAAG